UGAAAGUCAAGUCAUGAAGCAAGGCAUUU
rnacentral:piRNA from 1 species